GGAAGGGCCAUGUGGUCCACAGCAGGAAGACAGACAUCUGCAAGCCAAGAAGAGAGCUCUCACCAGAAAAUGAAAUGAGCCCACACCUUGGUCAUGGACUUCUACCCUCUAGAACUGCCCAGAGGACUGUGAGACCACAGACAAUGAGGCUGCAUGAUGGUGGGACCCCUGUGAUUAUUAGGAAACUGAGAUCCUGACAACUGUGAAACUGCAAGUCUGUGGAAUCUUUCUGCCUCUACUCCAAGCCUCUGCUUAGUCAUCUAAAUUCCCCUAAUCAGUUUCAUCUGUGAUUUCAAGAUGGCAUUCAACAGUGCUAGGAGAAACAUACUUCCUCUUCUACAAUGGGAAAGAGAGAGAGAAACCUGGAUUUGAGUUGAUUCAAGACCAAGAGAGAGGUUAAGAAGUAGGCACAGAUCAUCAACUGUUCGCAUACUACAAUAUGAAGCUGCAGCAUCCUUUGAUUACGUCUACAUAUGCUGUGUUCCAGGAAACAGCUUGAUUACAUUUCUUAUUUCUUCCUAUUAGCUCAAUAGAUAAUCAUAAACUGUCCUUCCUCGUCCAACCAUUCCUCCAGUGCCUUAUACUUGCCAUUAAUUCAUUCCACUUGUUCUUGCUACGUGAGGAGUUGCUCCAUUUCUCCUUCUGAUUUUCUUCUUUCCCUCCUUCCUUCCUACCUGCAUUCCUUCUUUCUUUUUUUCUCUAAGUCUUGGUUUAAAAAUGAGGACAGGAGCCUUUUUUGUUAUAUGAGGCAAUAAGCAUCUGAGAAAGGAAAAUGCAGAGGAGGGUGCUGGAGCAUGACAUUGUAGAUGAUUCAACCCAAGCCAUCACCCACUGUAUGAAUAGUAAAAAC